rnacentral:rRNA from 1 species
GUGGGGAAUAUUGGUCAAUGGGGGAAACCCUGAACCAGCAACGCCGCGUGAAGGAAGAAGGCUUUCGGGUUGUAAACUUCUUUGACAGGGGACGAAAUAAAUGACGGUACCCUGAAAACAAGCCACGGCUAACUACGUGCCAGCAGCCGCGGUAAUACGUAGGUGGCAAGCGUUGUCCGGAUUUACUGGGUGUAAAGGGCGUGUAGGCGGGACAGAAAGUCAGAUGUGAAAUGCUGAGGCUUAACCUCAGAGCUGCAUUUGAAACUAUUGUUCUUGAGUGAUGGAGAGGCAGGCGGAAGUCCGUGUGUAGCGGUGAAAUGCGUAGAUAUACGGAGGAACACCAGUGGCGAAGGCGGCCUGCUGGACAUUAACUGACGCUGAGGCGCGAAAGCGUGGGGAGCAAACAGGAUUAGAAACCCCUGUAGUCC